rnacentral:pre_miRNA from 1 species
UUUUAUGGUUAAAAAAAGAAAGUAGUUUCUUGAGAUGGAAUCUACUCCUGGUGAAGAUCCUGUGAA